UCCGACCUCAGAUCGGACGAGAUUACCCGCUGAAUUUAAGCAUAUAACUAAGCGGAGGAAAAGAAACUAACAAGGAUUUCCCCAGUAACGGCGAGUGAAGCGGAAAUAGCCCAGCACCGAAUCCCUCAGUGUCACGCUGACGGGAACUGUGGUGUGUGGGACGCCACCAGUCGCAUCAGUGGGCACCGAAGUCCUCCUGAUCGAGGCUUCACCCAGAGCGGGUGUAAGGCCUUUGCAGGUGCCCUACUGUGCGGCCGCGAGCGUCUCAGGAGUCGGGUUGUUUGGGAAUGCAGCCCAAAGCGGGUGGUAACUCCAUCUAA
rnacentral:rRNA from 1 species